UGGACGCAGCGUUCUCUAGUACAACCCCAAGCAGGGGGGAGAAUGUAUUUUUUGGUACUUUCGCGUGUAGUACGCAGCUGUACUACCCAGCUUUGAAAAAGUACACAAUCCCAUUCUCUUCGCCGAUAAAAAGCCCAACCUAUUGCAAUUCCAAGUUGCCAGACGCCGUUGAUGACGAGAUGUUGGUCCGAAGACAAGUUGCGGCUCUCUUUCCUUGGCUGGAAAUAAACGGUCGUGAAGAUUCACACGUAAUCACAUAUGGGCUCGGCGUAUCCUGGAAGCUAUUUACCUACAACCUAUCAGCAUUCUCGAUAACAUUUGAGAAGGGGCAAAUAAUGCUUUAAGGACAGCGUGAUCACACGUGCUUCAGCCUGUCCUUAACAUUUCCAUUUCUUUAUUAUUUUACAUAAAUUAUAAUUCUGUAAUUUGUUUUAACAGUUUCAGUGAACGAGGUUAUGCAAAUCUUAUGAAAAUCUAGAUUUUUUCAAUGGUGGCUAUUCCAGUAUCUAGUGAUUUCGGUCCCGAUGAGAUUUGGGCAUUGCCAUUUGUAUCUUGAACUCAAAUCAUGUGAAAUCUAAUGAAAAUUAAGUCUUUACCUUUUGUAA